rnacentral:rRNA from 1 species
GAGGAAUAUUGGUCAAUGGACGAGAGUCUGAACCAGCCAAGUAGCGUGAAGGAUGACUGCCCUAUGGGUUGUAAACUUCUUUUAUAUGGGAAUAAAGUGUUCCCACGUGUGGGAUUUUGUAUGUACCAUAUGAAUAAGGAUCGGCUAACUCC